GGAGAAAGUGGGAGUGGGAAAUCAACGGUGAUCUCAUUACUGCAAAGAUUUUACGACCCUGAUUCUGGCCAAAUUACUCUAGAUGGAAUUGAGAUCCGAAAGUUGAACUUAAAAUGGUUAAGACGGCAGAUGGGUCUGGUGAGUCAGGAACCUGUAUUAUUUAAUGACAGCAUUCGAGCCAACAUUGCAUACGGGAAGGAAGGAAAUGCAACAGAGGCAGAAAUUAUGGCUGCA
rnacentral:misc_RNA from 1 species